GCAGUGGGGAAUAUUGGACAAUGGGGGGAACCCUGAUCCAGCCAUGCCGCGUGUGUGAAGAAGGCCUUUUGGUUGUAAAGCACUUUAAGCGAGGAGGAGGCGCUCUAGGAUAAUACCCUAGAUGCGUGGACGUUACUCGCAGAAUAAGCACCGGCUAACUCUGUGCCAGCAGCCGCGGUAAUACAGAGGGUGCGAGCGUUAAUCGGAUUUACUGGGCGUAAAGCGCGCGUAGGUGGCUAAUUAAGUCAAAUGUGAAAUCCCCGAGCUUAACUUGGGAAUUGCAUUCGAUACUGGUUAGCUAGAGUAUGGGAGAGGAUGGUAGAAUUCCAGGUGUAGCGGUGAAAUGCGUAGAGAUCUGGAGGAAUACCGAUGGCGAAGGCAGCCAUCUGGCCUAAUACUGACACUGAGGUGCGAAAGCAUGGGGAGCAAACAGGAUUAGAUACCCUGGUAGUCCAUGCCGUAAACGAUGUCUACUAGCCGUUGGGGCCUUUGAGGCUUUAGUGGCGCAGCUAACGCGAUAAGUAGACCGCCUGGGGAGUACGGUCGCAAGACUAAAACUCAAAUGAAUUGACGGGGGCCCGCACAAGCGGUGGAGCAUGUGGUUUAAUUCGAUGCAACGCGAAGAACCUUACCUGGCCUUGACAUACAGAGAACUUUCCAGAGAUGGAUUGGUGCCUUCGGGAACUCUGAUACAGGUGCUGCAUGGCUGUCGUCAGCUCGUGUCGUGAGAUGUUGGGUUAANCCCAUGCAACGUAGCGCAACCCUUUUCCUUACUUGCCAAAUUUCGGAUGGGAACUUUAAGGAUACUGCCAGUGACAAACUGGAGGAAGGUGGGGAUGACGUCAAGUCCUCAU
rnacentral:rRNA from 1 species